AACUGAAGUCCCGAGUGACUGUCACUGUGGCUGUAAAGAUUUGUCUAAGCUUGUGGUUAUCUCAAGGGCCCGACAUCACACUGAUCAUUAAGCAACCGUGCGGAGGCGCAGCUGGGCGUUGCCAUGGCAACUGGCACUGGGUUCGCCUGCAGAGCUUGGACCACAGUACUUCCAGGGACCGGAGAUCAUGUACAGACCAAACACAGCAAACAGUGCUGCUUCCUAUCGUUUCAUGGAAGCCCCCAGAAGUCAUCUUAGCAGUAGAGAAACAGCAAGAAGAAUGAAAUUAAAAGGAACUACAGAAGUGACUUGCUGUCCAUAGAAGUUUGUAAGUGAGUAAGGAGCUGCUAUGGAGAUGAUUCUAGAAAGCCCCUACCUUCUACAAGAACAUAUCAGGUUAAGAAAGAUCCACACUACAGCAUCCAAAGGUUAGACAUUGGAAGAGCUAUGCAUGCUAUUGCAAACCUGAAUUCAUGUUUCAAUGGAAAUGAAACCUCCAUUCAGCCCUGCUCACCCUACAGCCA
ensembl:lncRNA